rnacentral:rRNA from 1 species
AAAACACAACGACUCUCGACAACGGAUAUCUCGGCUCUCGCAUCGAUGAAGAACGUAGCGAAAUGCGAUACUUGGUGUGAAUUGCAGAAUCCCGUGAACCAUCGAGUCUUUGAACGCAAGUUGCGCCCGAAGCCACUAGGUUGAGGGCACGUCUGCCUGGGUGUCACGC